rnacentral:rRNA from 1 species
UACGUAGGGAGCAAGCGUUGUCCGGAAUCAUUGGGCGUAAAGCGCGCGUAGGUGGCUUCGUAAGUCCGUUGUGAAAGUCAAAGGCUCAACCUUUGAAAGCCGAUGGAUACUGUGGAGCUAGAGUACGGAAGAGGCGAGUGGAAUUCCGGGUGUAGCGGUGGAAUGCGUAGAGAUCCGGAAGAACACCAGUGGCGAAGGCGGCCCGCUGGGCAGUGGCUGACGCUGAGGCGCGACAGCGUGGGGAGCAAACAGG